rnacentral:rRNA from 1 species
GAAUACCCGCUGAACUUAAGCAUAUCAAUAAGCGGAAGAGAAAAAUAAAA